GAUGAACGCUGGCGGCGUGCCUAAUACAUGCAAGUCGAGCGAACGGACGAGAAGCUUGCUUUUCUGAUGUUAGCGGCGGCCGGGUGAGUAACACGUGGAUAACCUACCUAUAAGACUGGGAUAACUUCUGGAAACCGGAGCUAAUACCGGAUAAUAUUUUGAACCGCAUGGUUCAAAAGUGAACGACGGUCUUGCUGUCACUUAUAGAUGGAUCCGCGCUGCAUUAGCUAGUUGGUAAGGUAACGGCUUACCAAGGCAACGAUGCAUAGCCGACCUGAGAGGGUGGUCGGCAACACUGGAACUGAGACACGGCCCAGACUCCUACGGGAGGCAGCAGUAGGGAAUCUUCCGCAAUGGGCGAAAGCCUGACGGAGCAACGCCGAGUGAGUGAUGAAGGUCUUCGGAUCGUAAAACUCUGUUAUUAGGGAAGAACACAUGUGUAAGUAACUGUGCACAUAUUGACGGUACCUAAUCAGAAAGCCACGGCUAACUACGUG
rnacentral:rRNA from 1 species